AAAUAUGUCAACAAAGAGUUUAGGAUGUCAAGUGUUGAUCAAAAGUUGUUGUAGACAUCCGUUUAGACCACGAAACCCUGAACUUUGUAGCAUGCAAAAGACAUGGUUAGAAGCAAAAGAAAAUCAUGAAAAUUUACCAGAAAAUAGCUUUAACCAUUUUUAUGAAGUAUGCAAAAAAUUAGAUUCAAAUUUGAAGUAUUUUUUUACACUAAUCAUAAAACGUAUGAACCUACCUACCGUAUCCUAAGUCAUUCAACCAAACAAGUAGGAUGGGAAUAUAAGAUCAGCUCACAUAUCAGCGAGUAAACACAGGACGUCCGUGGCUGUCCGUCAGCACACACAGGACUAAUAUCAUUUGGAACCCGUACUUUAAAAACAUUCUUUAUAC
rnacentral:lncRNA from 1 species